rnacentral:rRNA from 1 species
AUUGAACGCUGGCGGCAGGCCUAACACAUGCAAGUCGAACGGUAACAGGAAGAAGCUUGCUUCUUUGCUGACGAGUGGCGGACGGGUGAGGAAUGUCUGGGAAACUGCCUGAUGGAGGGGGAUAACUACUGGAAACGGUAGCUAAUACCGCAUAACGUCGCAAGACCAAAGAGGGGGACCUUCGGGCCUCUUGCCAUCGUAUGUGCCCAGAUGGGAUUAGCUAGUAGGUGGGGUAACGGCUCACCUAGGCGACGAUCCCUAGCUGGUCUGAGAGGAUGACCAGCCACACUGGAACUGAGACACGGUCCAGACUCCUACGGGAGGCAGCAGUGGGGAAUAUUGCACAAUGGGCGCAAGCCUGAUGCAGCCAUGCCGCGUGUAUGAAGAAGGCCUUCGGGUUGUAAAGUACUUUCAGCGGGGAGGAAGGGAGUAAAGUUAAUACCUUUGCUCAUUGACGUUACCCGCAGAAGAAGCACCGGCUAACUCCGUG